GGUCGUAUGGUGUAAUGGUUAGCACAUGAGGUUCUGAUUACCAGACCUCCUCAGGAUCUGGGUUCGAUUCCCAGUAUGACCU
rfam:Gaeumannomyces graminis var. tritici R3-111a-1 unplaced genomic scaffold supercont2.2, whole genome shotgun sequence.